GGCCUUGACAUGCUGAGAACUUUCCAGAGAUGGAUUGGUGCCUUCGGGAACUCAGACACAGGUGCUGCAUGGCUGUCGUCAGCUCGUGUCGUGAGAUGUUGGGUUAAGUCCCGUAACGAGCGCAACCCUUGUCCUUAGUUACCAGCACGUAAUGGUGGGCACUCUAAGGAGACUGCCGGUGACAAACCGGAGGAAGGUGGGAUGACGUCAAGUCAUCAUGGCCCUUACGGCCAGGGCUACACACGUGCUACAAUGGUCGGUACAAAGGGUUGCCAAGCCGCGAGGUGGAGCUAAUCCCAUAAAACCGAUCGUAGUCCGGAUCGCAGUCUGCAACUCGACUGCGUGAAGUCGGAAUCGCUAGUAAUCGUGAAUCAGAAUGUCACGGUGAAUACGUUCCCGGGCCUUGUACACACCGCCCGUCACACCAUGGGAGUGGGUUGCUCCAGAAGUAGCUAGUCUAACCUUCGGGGGGACGGUUACCACGGAGUGAUUCAUGACUGGGGUGAAGUCGUAACAAGGUAAGCGUAGAUGA
rnacentral:rRNA from 1 species